CUUGGUCAUUUAGAGGAAGUAAAAGUCGUAACAAGGUUUCCGUAGGUGAACCUGCGGAAGGAUCAUUAUCGAAAUGCCUAUGACAGAGCUGUCGCUGGCCUUCUGGCCGUGCACGCUCUGUCCUUCUUCAUUUCUCCAUCUACUUGUGCACUCGCUCACAUGGAUCUCAUUGUCUGAGGGGUUUCCCUUGGAUCAUUAGGACUGCUUUGCGAAAAAACAUCAUUUUUUUUCGUGGGCUUUCCUUGUUCUUCCAUGUCUUUCUUCACAUACCCCAGUGUAACAACCAUGAAAUAGAUGAAUUUUUAUGCAUAAUACAACUUUCAGCAACGGAUCUCUUGGCUCUCGCAUCGAUGAAGAACGCAGCGAAAUGCGAUAAGUAAUGUGAAUUGCAGAAUUCCGUGAAUCAUCGAAUCUUUGAACGCAUAUUGCGCCCUCUGGUAUUCCGGGGGGCAUGCCUGUCCGAGCGUCAUUACUACCUUCAAGCGCGGCUUGUUUGUUGAGCUUUGUCCGUCAAGAUUUUUUUGUGGACAGGCUUGAAAUGCAGUGGCGAAUGUUGGGUUUGGUGCCCGAGUGUAUGGAGCUUUGUCACACGCUCUGGUGGCCCAACUGGCAUUCCGUCCACCUUUAAAUUGAUUUUUAUAUCUGGAUUGACCUCGGAUCAGGUAGGAAAACCCGCUGAACUUAAGCAUAUCAAUAAGCGGAGGA
rnacentral:rRNA from 1 species